rnacentral:lncRNA from 1 species
AGAGCACCCGGACCCGCGGCGGCAGCGGCAGCGACGCUACCCACCCUCUUCCCCAACACCCACCUAGCCAGCGAGUCACCGAGCCACCGGCCCUCGGGCCGGCGCCUCGGUUCCUGCCCAGCUGGAUUUGGGGGGCAGCAUUGCCUGGCGCAGGGAGAUCAAAUGAGACUGCAAAGAAGCAUAAAAUGAAUAGACAAUCCAACCAACCAAAGACCGGGGGCAGCAGCAGGCCAGCAAGACGGCAUCUUCUCCUUCCCAGCCUAGAAGCCCUGUGAAAUCGAGGAUCUUCCCCCUAAAACACAUACACACAAGAUAUGUGCAAUCAAGCUGCCACCGCUUGGUAAAAAGCCAUGGUGCCUAACCAAAAAGGAUCAGGAACAGAUCCUUGAAUCAGCUGUCACUUCUAUAGAAUGGGAUUUUUUUUUCCUUCCUCCUUAACCUGCGCUGGAAAUUGCCGUUGGCUUUAUACAUCUCUAUAGAGAGAGGCUAAAGAGUCUUGCGUGAGAAAGAAGCAAUUUACAAUGCAAAUA